rnacentral:rRNA from 1 species
GAAUACAUAGCGCAGUCGAGGUAGACGCAGAGAACUGAAACAUCUAAGUACCUGCAGGAAGAGAAAGAAAAUUCGAUUCCCUGAGUAGCGGCGAGCGAAACGGGAAAAGCCCAAACCAACAAGCUUGCUUGUUGGGGUUGUAGGACUCCGAUAUGGUAGUCUAUUCAGAUAGUCGAAAUACUUGGAAAAGUAUGUCAAAGAGGGUAAAAACCCCGUAGGCGAAAUUUGGAUAACACCUAGGAGGAUCCUGAGUACGGCGGAACACGAGGAAUUCCGUCGGAAUCCGGGAGGACCAUCUCCCAAGGCUAAAUACUCCCUAGUGACCGAUAGUGAACCAGUACCGUGAGGGAAAGGUGAAAAGCACCCCGGAAGGGGAGUGAAAUAGAUCCUGAAACCGUGUGCCUACAACAAGUUAGAGCCCGUUAAUGGGUGAUAGCGUGCCUUUUGUAGAAUGAACCGGCGAGUUACGAUAGCAUGCGAGGUUAAGUUGAAGA